CCGGAGAAUGUUAUCACGGGAGACACACGGCGGGUGCUAACGUCCGUCGUGAAGAGGGAAACAACCCAGACCGCCAGCUAAGGUCCCAAAGUCAUGGUUAAGUGGGAAACGAUGUGGGAAGGCCCAGACAGCCAGGAUGUUGGCUUAGAAGCAGCCAUCAUUUAAAGAAAGCGUAAUAGCUCACUGGUCGAGUCGGCCUGCGCGGAAGAUGUAACGGGGCUAAACCAUGCACCGAAGCUGCGGCAGCGAACGUAUCACUUAAAGCGAUUCAGCGGRUKACGAUUGACGGAGCGAAGCGACGUCAAAGCGUAUACAAAGUCGAGUCGGUUUAAGGAUACGUUCGUUGGGUAGGGGAGCGUUCUGUAAGCCUGUGAAGGUGGCCUGUGAGGGUUGCUGGAGGUAUCAGAAGUGCGAAUGCUGACAUAAGUAACGAUAAAGCGGGUGAAAAGCCCGCUCGCCGGAAGACCAAGGGUUCCUGUCCAACGUUAAUCGGGGCAGGGUGAGUCGACCCCUAAGGCGAGGCCGAAAGGCGUAGUCGAUGGGAAACGGGUUAAUAUUCCCGUACUUGGUGUUACUGCGAAGGGGGGACGG
rnacentral:rRNA from 1 species